AGGCAGAGGAAAUCCUUCACAAUCUCUUUAUCAAGAGCAGACUAAGCCGGUCUCCUGAAGAUGGCGGAAGAGUAGGGGGACACGCUUGCCCUCUCCCACAAACACAACAACAACAACAAAAGCACAUCUACAGGUGAAUCAACUGGCACAGAACAGCAAUAAUCGCUGGCAAAAGAACCUAAACUCCAAUAACCGCAAGAAUCUCGUGACAUAACUGGGUAAAACAAGAGAAAAGAGGAGAGUGAGACAAGGGGAAUCGGGGCUAGACGGGCUCUCCUGAAAGGGAACUGUGGAGGAGAAAGGGAUCCCACACCCUGGAAAGUCACCUAUGAUGGAAAGAUCAACCAAAUCAGAGAGAUCUCCAGAUGCAGAGAAGAGUGCAGCAGUAAGUCUGAGAUCUGAAGAGUAGAGUGAGCACCAAACAGAUCAUCUGAAAUACUGGCGCAUUCACCAAAAACGGAGACUCUUGGGUGGUGGCUGGGCACCAAGACCUCGGCUCUGGAGGUUUUUGGCUGAGACGCUCAUGUAAUGAAAAAGACAGAUUAACAGGAGAAACCAAAUGGAGAUGGUACAUGGGAGACACCCAGGAAAACUGAGUAACUUUUCUGCAUUUUCACAUAAAAUCAUAAAAGAAUUUCCCUCAUUCUUUGUAUAUUUUAUUUUAAAUGGCUGCAUAAUCUUCUGUCUUUCAGGUGUACCACGAUUUAAGAUAUUAUUUUUAUUAUUAGAUAAAAUAUGGUAUUUUUGUUUACUCUUUUAAAAGUGAAGCUGUAAGUGAGUGAAGCAGUACACAGUGAAGCAGUACACAGUGAGAUGAUAGGUUGAGGGCAUACCAAUAUUAAAAAAUUAAAUUUCUAUGGCUAUAAUCAUACUGUCAUCCCAUUCAAUGAUGUUAUCUCACUGAAUUGGUACAUAAGACUAAUAGCAAAAGCUACAACCAAUCAUUUGAAUGAAACUGGAAUACUGGAUCAAACAUUUGUUGAAUUUUCAUCUGUCUACUGGAUAACUUUACAGCUUUAUUUGUCUCCUAUCUUUGAAGGUAACUGGCUCAGAGAUGGAGAACUGCCAAUACUGGUACAUUAGUAGUUUGGGAUUAACAUAUACACACUACUAUGUAUAAUACAGAUAAUCAACAAAAACCUGCAGAGCAUAGUGAACUCUACUCAAUAUUUAUGAUAACCUAUAUGGGAAAAGAAUCUGCAAAAGAGUAUAUAUAUGUAUAUGUAUAACUGAAUUUCUUUGCUGUACACCUGAAACUACCACAACAUUGUAAAUCAACUAUACUCCAAAAUAAAAAAUUAAGAAUUUAUUGUAGAAAAAAUAUUUGUAUAUGCCUUUCCAAAAAACUGGGGAAAAACAGGAAAUAAAAAAUAACAUAG
rnacentral:lncRNA from 1 species